CCUACGGGAGGCAGCAGUGAGGAAUAUUGGUCAAUGGACGAGAGUCUGAACCAGCCAAGUAGCGUGAAGGAUGACUGCCCUAUGGGUUGUAAACUUCUUUUAUAAAGGAAUAAAACGAGGCACGUGUGCCUUUUUUCAUGUACUUUAUGAAUAAGGAUCGGCUAACUCCGUGCCAGCAGCCGCGGUAAUACGGAGGAGCCGAGCGUUAUCCGGAGUUAUUGGGUUUAAAGGGAGCGUAGAUGGGUUGUUAAGUCAGUUGUGAAAGUUUGCGGCUCAAACGUAAAAUUGAAAUUGAUACUGGCAGUCUUGAGUACAGUUGAGGUAGGCGGAAUUCGUGGUGUAGCGGUGAAAUGCUUAGAUAUCACGAAGAACCCCGAUUGCGAAGGCAGCUUACUAAACUGUGACUGACAUUGAUGCUCGAAAGUGUGGGUAUCAAACAGGAUUAGAUACCCUUGUAGUC
rnacentral:rRNA from 1 species